AGAGUGUGGUUUCAUCCCUUAGGUGGAGUUCCCUCUACACUUCAUCAGAAAAUCAAGAUGCCAUAUAAGGAUGGUGUAAUCACCAUUAAUGCGGAAAAGGAUAGAGAAGCAACUGCAAUGCAAGUGGAUGGUCCAGUUCCACCACUAUCAGGUUUUUAGGUUGUUGGAAUUUAUGAAGAUUGGAUGGAUAUGAAAAUAGCUACUAUGAUGAGAAGGAUGAAGUUUUUACCCUGGCAUGGGCUUAGGAAAAUGAAUAGAUGGUCUGAUGACUUUUCUUGAGAUCAGGGGACAAAUCAUAAGGUAUGGAUUGGUCUAUCAACCAAUUGAAAAGGAGGAAGAGCCAAAGCCUCCUAAGUUUGUGAAAGAGGGGCAAUUAUCUGGACAAAUGAUCAAGAGCUGUCACAUGUGGAAGAGCUAGAACAGAAAAUCGA
rnacentral:misc_RNA from 1 species